GAUUGGUUCUGCCGUGGUAGGGUGUGCGUGAGGUGGAAGAAGGGCUGUUCCUCCACGGCACGGUGGAGGAGUUCUGAAGUCCUAAAGUUGGGGCAGGACCUGCAGCAUGGUCGGAGAAGGGGCAAGAGGCCCGGCGGGAAGAAGCAGCAAGAGUCGUGGAAUUAAGGGAAGAAGCAGAAAAGUUCUAGAAGAGGACUGGAGAAGUAGAAGGACUACAGACCCCAUGAUGCACAUGGAAAUGGGCGUAAAUCUGCACGACUUGUUCCGGGGCAUGCGCAUGUGUAAGCGCACAAUAAUCUCUUAAGAAUUAAAGAAACCUUGUAACAAAGAAAAGUAGUGAAGAAAAGCCUUAAGGAAAAGAGAAGGAAUGUGUGUAGUCCCUCUGCUUAAGGAAAAGAUAGAGGGUGGGAAGAUCUUCCUUCAACAAUUUAGAUCAACAUUUGUUAGGUAUAUGUGGUUUGCCAGGAAACUGCAUGUGUGUUGUGGACCAUAUGUGUUGAAGAUGCAGUGAUCAAAAAGACUUAGUCCCAGCUAUUAAGGAGAUCACAGUUUGGCAGCAAAUUAUUAUAGAAUGUGAUGGCUGUUCUAACAGACAUAUAAAGGAAGUGCUAUGGAUGGAAGCACAGAGGAAGAAGAGGUUAAUAGUGUCUAAGAACCUAGAAGGGAUGAAGAUGAAAAUUGAGAUUUGAAAGGUGAGAAAGUCAUUAAGACAAGGAUGACUUAAAGGUAUUCCAAACUCCUAAGAAAUACAGGGAGUUUUGGUGGAUGCAGAAUGAUUGAGGAAGGCUGUGAAAGUCUUCUCUUAACAAAAAUCUCUUUCUGUAAUGGUUGCUUGUUUAUGGGAUGAGAAACUAGGGGGUCAUUUGCUUGCUUAAAGCCUCUGGCUUCUCCUGAUGCAACUUCCAGGCCAGUCUACCUUCUCUUCUCAAAUCCCCCAGCUUUUGCUUCAAGUUUACUUCCAGCCUGGCAAGGAGUGAGUCUUCUGAGCACAACCACCCAGUGUCCAAGCAGGGCGGGAACACCUCCUUCCUCAUCUCUCCCACACAUACUCCUUCCAUACCCACCAAGAAGAAAGGCAGCCAGGAAGAGUGGACAGGUCCAGAACCACAGAGGGUGAUGAACAGAUGCAGAAGUAUCAAUCCUGAGGCUAAAGAGUAAUUGGGCAAAGUUUUGGUGAGACACUCCCAUUGCCACUGAUGAUAAGGAAUGUUUUCUCUUGAAAGGCUUAAAAUUGGUGGAAAGCGGUGGCUCACGUCCGUAAUCCAAGCACUUUGGGAGGCUGGGGCAGGUGGAUGGACUGAGCUCAAGAGUUCAAGAUCAGCCUGGGCAACAUGGUGAAACCCUGUUUCUACAAAAAAUUUAAAAAUAUUAGCCAGGUGUGGUGGCACGUGCUCCCAGCCUGGGCAACACCUCCCAGUACUUGGGAGGCUGAGGAGGGAGGAUAUCGUGAGCCGUGGAGGUGGUUGCAGUGAGCCGAGACUAUGUCACUGAACUCCAGCCUGGGCAACAGAGCCAGACCCUGUCUCAAAAAAAAAAAAAAAAAAAAAGGUUGGGGGGAAAGGCUUAAAAUCAAUGUUAUUGUCCUUUAUUUAAGGCGUUUUAGGCUGAGUGUGGUGGCUCGCACCUGUAAUCCUGGCACUUAGGGAGGCCAAGGCAGAUCACCUGAGAUCAGGAAUUCAAGACCAGCCUGGCCAACGUGGUGAAACCCGGUCUCUACUGAAAAAUACAAAAAUUAGCCUGGUGUGGUGGCGCAUGCCUGUAAUCCCAGCUACUCAGGAGACUGAGGCAGGAAGAAUUGCUUGAACCUGGGAGGCAGAGGUUGCAGUGAGCCGAGAUUGCACCACUUCUUCACUCCCAGCCUGGGCAACAGAAUGAGACGCCAUCUCAAAAAAAAAAAAAAAGAUGUUUUAAAUUUUAAAAUUUUUAUUACAAAAGUAAUACAUGUAUUCGUCAUGAAUACCAAUUGGAAAACAAGUCAGCAAAACAUAGUAAGUACAAAAUGGAUUCAUACUCCUACCUCCCAGGAAAAAAAUCAGUGUUAGCAAUAAUAUAUUUCACACACACACAUACCCCUCCAAAUUUAUCUAUAUAUACUCGGAUAUAACAUUCAUACAGCAAAGUAUAUACAAGUGUACAGCUAAAUUUUCACAACAUAAACACAGCCAUAUAGCCGCAAUUUAGAUUUUUUUUUUUAAAGAAACACACAUAACUAAUAUCCAGAAGUCCCCAUGAUGACCCUUCCAGCAGUUACUCUCUCUUCUUCAAAAGUAACACCUUGGGGCCAGGCGUGAUGGCUCACACCUGUAAUCCCAGCACUUUGGGAGGCUGAGGCGGGUGGAUCACAAGGUCAGGAGAUCGAGACCAUCCUAACACAGUGAAACCCCGUCUCUACUAAAAAUAUAAAAAAAAUUAGCCGGGCAUCGUGGCGGGCACCUGUAGCUCCAGCUACUCGGGAGGCUGAGGCAGGAGAAUGGCGUGAACCCGGGAGGUGGAGCUUGCAGUGAGCCGAGAUCGCACCACUGCACACUCUAGCCUGGGCGACAGAGCGAGACUCCAUCUCAAAAAAAAAACACCUUGGGAGGAGGGAGGAAUGGGAGGUGGUGACUACUUACCUGGAACUAGACAGUAGUAAUGGUUAUACAACUUGUGAAUGCACUGAAUGCCACUGAGUCAUACACUUUAAAUUAGUUAAAGUGGCAGAUUUUAUGUGUAAUUUUACCACAAUUUUAAAAAAAUGACUGAAGGUAAAAUAAAUAACUACUGUCCUGUCUUCUAAUAGCAUAGAUCGACUUUGCCUGUGGAACUUUUUAUAAAUGGAAAAAUGGAAUCAUCAUCUUCAGUGUGUGUCUGGUUUUUUUUGUUUGUUUGUUUGUUUUGAGAUGGGAGUUUUGCUCUUGUUGCCCAGGCUGGAGUGCAAUGGCAUGAUCUUGGCUCACUGCAACCUCCGCCUCCCGGGUUCAAGCAAUUCUCCUGCCUCAGCCUCCUGAGUAGCUUGGAUUACAGGCAUGUGCCACCACACCCGGCUAAUUUUUUUGCAUUUUUAGUAGAGAUGGGGUUUCACCAUGUUGGUCAGGCUGGUCUUGAACUCCUGACCUCAGGUGAUCCACCUGCCUCGGCCUUCCAAAGUGCUGGGAUUACAUGUGUGAGCUACCAUGCCCGGCCUGUGUCUGUUUUUUUAAAAAACAUGUUAGUGAGAAUCGUGAACACUGCUGAAUAUAGUUGUAGUUCAUUCAUCUUCAUUGCUGUGGACUAUUCCAUUGUAUGAAUACACUAUCAUUUAUCCGUUUCACUAUUGAUGGAUAUUUUGGUUGUUUCCUAUUUGGACUAUUAAAAAAUAAUACUGCUGUGAACACUCUUGUUCAUACUUUUGGUAUACAAAUACAGUCAUGUACCAUGUAAUGACUUCUCAGUCAACAAGAUUGCAAUAUACAAAGGUGGCCCCCAUAAAAUUAUAACACUGUAUUUUUGCUGUACCUUUCCUGUGUUUAGAUAGAUACAUGAAUACAUAUUAUUGGGUUUCAACUGCCUACAGUAAUUGCAGGAAUUCUAGUGGGCACGGGGAAUGCAGCAACUGUAUUCACUACAGUAUAACAUGCAGUACAGGUUUGUAGCCUAGGAGCCAUAGUCUAGACCCUAUAGGCUAGGUGUGUAGUAGGCUACACCAUCUAGGUUUGUGUAAGUACACUAUGAUGUUCACACAACAAAAAAACCACUGAGACACAUUUCUCAGAAUGUAUCCCACCAUUAACUGACACAUGACUGUAUAUGCAUUUCUGUUGGGUACAUAACUAAAUCGCAUAUUUUUUUUUUAAUGGAGCACACUGUAACAUAGCUUUGUAACCACCUUUCUUUUUUAAAUCUUCAGCUCACUUCAGUCUAAUCUUUUUUCAUUUACUAUUUCUCAAACAACUCUCCAUACCAAUAAGUAUUUUUGAUAACUAUUUUUCACAGCUACAGUUUUCCCUUUUAGGCAAAUUUGUGCACGUACCUUUUCUUUCCAAGUGUAAUUGCUGGGUUAAAGUUUUAACGUGUUUUGAAUAUUAACUGCUAAACUGACUUUCAGAAGCAUUGAUACUACCAGGCUAUCAGGGUUACCCUGGGAUCUCAGGCAAUAGCCCCAACGACCAACACCUCUACAACUCUUGCCUAUGCUGAGCUCCCUCCUUGUCUCUUUCCCUUCCUUUUAUUUGAGUCAGAGUCUCACUGUCACCCAGGCUGGUCUGCAGUGGCACCAUCUUGGCUCGCUGCAACUUCCGCCUCCUGGGUUCAAGCAUUUUUCGAGCCUCAGGCUCCUGGGUAGCUGAGACUAUAGGCGCCCGCCACCACGCACGGCUAAUUUUUGUAUUUUUAGUAGAUACAGGGUUUCACCAUGUUGGCCAGGCUGGUCUCAAACUCCUGACCUCAUGUUAUCUGCCUGCCUUGGCCGCCUCCCACAGUGCUGGGAUUACAGGCGUGAGCCACUGCACCAGCCCCCUUCUUAAGUCAUUCUUUCUUUGUUUUAGACCUUUCUUCCCAACCUCCUUCUACUUUAGGGCCCAGUUCUUUCAGAAUGUUCUCCCAUUCCACCUAAGAAACUCUUACUUUCACAUUUUUUUUGGAGUUAAUCCUAUUAAUAAUAUCACCCUUCAAGGCCGUUCCCCUUCUUGAUCCCUAUUAUUGUGUUCAUCGUAUUGUAUUACUGUUGGUGAGAUUUGGCUCCACUUCAUCCAUCACUGUGUGCUCCUAAGGGCUGGAGCAAGAAUACAACAAAACUAAUAAGUAGGAACUGUCCGGUAAGAAGCCUCUCCUCUGUACCACAAAUCACGUUCUCACAGGGACCAUUAUCUUCUUUAUCUCUGCAUCCCCAGUGCCCUCUACAAUUCCUGCAAAGACUAAGUGCUCAGGACAUUAUUUGUUGAGUCAAUGACAGAAUUCUAUGCUCAGGGAGCAAGUCAAAGGAGAAGGUUGCUCACUCUACUCCAAAUAUGGGCACCCGUAAUGAAUGAUUUUUUGGAGGAAAAAAAAAUCCCUACAAUCCAUUUUCCACAGAACAGCCAGAGUGAUCUUUUAAAUUUGUUUUUGUUUUUGAGACGGAGUCUCGCUCUGUCGCCCAGGCUGGAGUGCAGUGGUGCGAUCUCAGCU
rnacentral:lncRNA from 1 species